rnacentral:rRNA from 1 species
AUUGAACGCUGGCGGCAUGCCUUACACAUGCAAGUCGAACGGCAGCACGGGAGCAAUCCUGGUGGCGAGUGGCGAACGGGUGAGUAAAGUAUCGGAACGUGCCCAGUCGUGGGGGAUAACGUAGCGAAAGUCACGCUAAUACCGCAUACGAUCUAUGGAUGAAAGCGGGGGAUCGCAAGACCUCGCGCGAUUGGAGCGGCCGAUAUCAGAUUAGGUAGUUGGUGGGGUAAAGGCUCACCGAGCCGACGAUCUGUAGCUGGUCUGAGAGGACGACCAGCCACACUGGGACUGAGACUCGGCCCAGACUCCUACGGGAGUCAGCAGUGGGGAAUUUUGGACAAUGGGCGAAAGCCUGAUCCAGCCAUGCCGCGUGCAGGAUGAAGGCCUUCGGGUUGUAAACUGCUUUUGUACGGAACGAAAAGGUUUGGCCUAAUAAGCUGAGCUCAUGACGGUACCGUAAGAAUAAGCACCGGCUAACUACGUGCCAGCCGCCGCUGUAA